GAUGAACGCUGGCGGCGUGCCUAAUACAUGCAAGUCGAGCGAAUGGAUUAAGAGCUUGCUCUUAUGAAGUUAGCGGCGGACGGGAGAGUAACACGUGGGUAACCUGCCCAUAAGACUGGGAUAACUCCGGGAAACCGGGGCUAAUACCGGAUAACAUUUUGAACCGCAUGGUUCGAAAUUGAAAGGCGGCUUCGGCUGUCACUUAUGGAUGGACCCGGGUCGCAUUAGCUAGUUGGUGAGGUAACGGCUCACCAAGGCAACGAUGCGUAGCCGACCUGAGAGGGUGAUCGGCCACACUGGGACUGAGACACGGCCCAGACUCCUACGGGAGGCAGCAGUAGGGAAUCUUCCGCAAUAGACGAAAGUCUGACGGAGCAACGCCGCGUGAGUGAUGAAGGCUUUCGGGUCGUAAAACUCUGUUGUUAGGGAAGAACAAGUGCUAGUUGAAUAAGCUGGCACCUUGACGGUACCUAACCAGAAAGCCACGGCUAACUACGUGCCAGCAGCCGCGGUAA
rnacentral:rRNA from 1 species